AUGCCCAAUGGCAGCUUAGAAAUGCUGCUACACAACUCUCAAGGUACAACCGAAUUGGGAUUCAGUGAGAGACUAGGCAUCAUGCUCGAUGUGUCAUUGGCAAUGGAGUAUCUGCACCAUGAACACUACGAGGUGGUCUUGCACUGUGACUUGAAGCCUAGCAAUGUGUUGUUCGAUGAGGACAUGACAGCACAUGUGGCAGACUUUGGCAUUGCAAGGUUGUUACUAGGUGAUGACAGCUCUACAAUCACUGCAAGCAUGCCUGGAACUGUUGGCUACAUGGCACCAGAGUAUGGGGCUCAGGCAAAAGCUUCACGAAAAAGUGAUGUAUUCAGCUUUGGAAUCAUGCUCUUUGAAGUCUUCACUAGAAAGAGACCCACAGAUGUGUUUUUUGUUGGAGAAAUAAGCCUGAGGCAGUGGGUUGUUGAGGCAUUUCCCGCAGAACUUGUCCGUGUUGUGGAUGAUCAGCUACUACAAGGGUCUUUUAGCUACAGCACGGAAGGCUUUCUUGUGCCGGUAUUUGAGUUGGGUCUGGCCUGCACUAGCGACUCUCCUGACCAAAGGAUGACAAUGAGCGAUGUGGUUGUGAAACUGAAGAAGAUCCAAGUGGCCUGCAAUAAAUCAAUAGCAGCCGCACAGAAUGAAGCCAGUCAUUGA
rnacentral:rRNA from 1 species